rnacentral:rRNA from 1 species
AUACGGGGGGUGCAAGCGUUGCUCGGAAUUAUUGGGCGUAAAGCGCGUGUAGGCGGUUUGUUAAGUCUGAUGUGAAAGCCCCGGGCUCAACCUGGGAAGUGCAUUGGAUACUGGCAGACUUGAAUACGGGAGAGGGCAGUGGAAUUCUUGGUGUAGGAGUGAAAUCCGUAGAUAUCAGGAGGAACACCGGUGGCGAAGGCGGCUGCCUGGACCGAUAUUGACGCUGAGACGCGAAAGCGUGGGUAGC